GAUGAACGCUGGCGGCGUGCCUAAUACAUGCAAGUCGAGCGAACAGAUAAGGAGCUUGCUCCUUUGACGUUAGCGGCGGACGGGUGAGUAACACGUGGGUAACCUACCUAUAAGACUGGGAUAACUUCGGGAAACCGGAGCUAAUACCGGAUAACAUUUGGAACCGCAUGGUUCUAAAGUGAAAGAUGGUUUUGCUAUCACUUAUAGAUGGACCCGCGCCGUAUUAGCUAGUUGGUAAGGUAACGGCUUACCAAGGCAACGAUACGUAGCCGACCUGAGAGGGUGAUCGGCCACACUGGAACUGAGACACGGUCCAGACUCCUACGGGAGGCAGCAGUAGGGAAUCUGCCGCAAUGGGCGAAAGCCUGACGGAGCAACGCCGCGUGAGUGAUGAAGGGUUUCGGCUCGUAAAACUCUGUUAUUAGGGAAGAACAAACGUGUAAGUAACUGUGCACGUCUUGACGGUACCUAAGCAGAAAGCCACGGCUAACUACGU
rnacentral:rRNA from 1 species